CUAGUACUCCCUCCGUCCGGAAAUACUUGUCGGAGAAAUGAAUAAAAAUGGAUGUAUCUAGCACUAAAAUACAUCUAGAUACAUCCAUUUCUCCGACAAGUAUUUCCGGACGGAGGGAGCAUUAA
rfam:Triticum aestivum genome assembly, contig: Triticum_aestivum_CS42_TGACv1_scaffold_470896_6AL